CUCCAGGAAGCAGCUCCCCUGUCCUCCCAUGCUGUGUGGAGCGUUGCCAUGGUAACGCGCGGCAACGCUCCACACAGCAUCGCGCGGGAGGACAGGGGAGCUGCUUCCUGGAG
rnacentral:miRNA from 1 species